GACGAACGCUGGCGGCGUGCUUAACACAUGCAAGUCGAGCGGUAAGGCCCUUUCGGGGGUACACGAGCGGCGAACGGGUGAGUAACACGUGGGUGACCUGCCCUCAGCUCUGGGAUAAGCCUGGGAAACCGGGUCUAAUACCGGAUAUGACUCCAUGACGCAUGUUGUGGGGUGGAAAGCCUUGUGCGGCUGAGGAUGGGCCCGCGGCCUAUCAGCUUGUUGGUGGGGUGAUGGCCUACCAAGGCGACGACGGCUAGCUGGUCUGUUAGAGGACGACCAGCCACACUGGGACUGAGACACGGCCCAGACUCCUACGGGAGGCAGCAGUGGGGAAUCUUGCGCAAUGGGCGAAAGCCUGACGCAGCGACGCCGCGUGAGGGAUGACGGCCUGGUGUAAC
rnacentral:rRNA from 1 species